AUGCGCGGUCUGCCUCCCGCGGCGGGCCGGGUCUCCAGGGAGGACCUGAGUUUUUCUUCACCCAUGGUCAGGGAGGCGCCAUCGCCCUGGCUUUGGGGCUGGGGCCUCCGGGGAGGUUCCGGUAGGGGCGUUGGAGAGGCCGCUCUUUUUGCAAGGCCCGAGAUGGCGGGCCCUGCGCAGGCCGCCCUAUUCCGCGCCCUCAGGGCGUCAGUAUCCGCCUGAGGCCGGAUACCCACUCUGGGCUCGGAUACCCGCGCUGGGCCCGGAGCAUCCUCGGCGCUGCCCUCCCAGAGCCCCGCAGAGGCUGAGGUGGCGCGGGGGCGGCCCCGGCUCCGCGAGAAGAGGCGGCAGCGAGGGCUGGAGGACCCGGGCUACGGGGCUCCGGGGCGUCUGGCCUGGGUGGGACUGAGCCCAUCCAGGGACUGGGACUCCGGGGUUCUGGUGUAGGUGGAUCCCGGGCAGGCUCAGGACCAAGACCCUCUCCUUCCACCAAGGAGCGCCCAGAGGCCGGCGGGAGCUCCAGGUUCACCUCCUCCUCCUCCAGGAAAUCCCACUUCCAGCUGGAUGUCUGGAUGAACUCCUGAAAGCUGCUGAGUGUCCUGCAGCAGGCCAUUUCCAAUCCAGAGGAAGACCUUCUAGAAGAAGUGAUGGGUGGGAGAGUGCUGACAUACUAUGCAAAGCUACUAUUUGGAGUUGGACACGAGUGCAUGUGACCUUGUGCCACAGCGGGAAUGUGAGCUGGAUGACAAAUGGAGAUUUGGACUUGUGAUAAUUGGCCUCUGUGUCAUUGUGUGGAAGACUGACUGGUCCCUUUAUUUCCUGUAGCUUGACUACCACACAAAUUAAUCCACUCAAAUGUUGGCAAGUGGAGCAGAGUCCCAGGACAGAGUCUCACUCUGUCACCCAGGCUAGAGUGCAAUGGCAUGAUCUCGGCUCACUACCACCUCCGCCUCCAGGGUUCAAGCGAUUGUCCUGCCUCAGCCUCCCAAGUAGCUGGAACUACAGGCACGUGCCACCACACCCUGCUAAUUUUUUGUAUUAGUAGAGACAGGGUUUCACCGUGUUGGCCACUGACUUCAUGAUCCCAAAGUGCUGGGAUUACAGUGCCUCGGCCUCCCAAAGUGCUGGGAUUACAGUGCCUUGGCCUCCCAAAGUGCUGGGAUUACAGGUGUGAUCCCACUAAUGGUUUUUUCAUGACCUAUCUUGUGUGCUCCUA
rnacentral:lncRNA from 10 species